rnacentral:tRNA from 1 species
GGUUGUAUGGUGUAAUGGUUAGCACUCUGGAUUCUGAAUCCAGCGAUCCGAGUUCAAAUCUCGGUAGGACCU